CCGGAAAUGCAAUGUCCAUCUAUGCUUUACUACCAAUCGCAACUGCUUCCUGAAGUUCCACACAGAAUAAACAAAUCAGAUCUCUGAAUCAGGAAAGGGUGUAUGACUGAAGUGCGAGCAGGCGAAGAGGGACCAGAUGAAAUGUCACCUCAUAAAUAGAUUUAUUAUGGCUAUUUUUAAUGUUGGCCAGUUGUUCUCUAAUAGUCAAUAUGUUUGUAAUGUGUUAUUUGUUCACUGGAUUGAUUAAAAU